rnacentral:rRNA from 1 species
CCUACGGGAGGCAGCAGUGGGGAAUAUUGCACAAUGGGGGAAACCCUGAUGCAGCGACGCCGCGUGAGUGAUGAAGUACUUCGGUAUGUAAAGCUCUAUCAGCAGGGAAGAAAAUGACGGUACCUGACUAAGAAGCCCCGGCUAACUACGUGCCAGCAGCCGCGGUAAUACGUAGGGGGCAAGCGUUAUCCGGAUUUACUGGGUGUAAAGGGAGCGUAGACGGCGGUGCAAGUCUGAUGUGAAAGGCCGGGGCUCAACCCCGGGACUGCAUUUGAAACUGUCAUGCUGGAGUGUCGGAGGGGCAAGCGGAAUUCCUAGUGUAGCGGUGAAAUGCGUAGAUAUUAGGAGGAACACCGGUGGCGAAGGCGGCUUGCUGGACGGUAACUGACGUUGAGGCUCGAAAGCGUGGGGAGCAAACAGGAUUAGAUACCCUAGUAGUC